rnacentral:rRNA from 1 species
AGUGAACGCUGGCGGUAGGCCUAACACAUGCAAGUCGAACGGCAGCACAGUAAGAGCUUGCUCUUACGGGUGGCGAGUGGCGGACGGGUGAGGAAUACAUCGGAAUCUACUUUUUCGUGGGGGAUAACGUAGGGAAACUUACGCUAAUACCGCAUACGACCUACGGGUGAAAGCAGGGGAUCUUCGGACCUUGCGCGAUUGAAUGAGCCGAUGUCGGAUUAGCUAGUUGGCGGGGUAAAGGCCAACCAAGGGGACGAUCCGUAGCUGGUCUGAGAGGAUGAUCAGCCACACUGGAACUGAGACACGGUCCAGACUCCUACGGGAGGCAGCAGUGGGGAAUAUUGGACAAUGGGCGCAAGCCUGAUCCAGCCAUACCGCGUGGGUGAAGAAGGCCUUCGGGUUGUAAAGCCCUUUUGUUGGGAAAGAAAAGCAGCAGGUUAAUACCCCGCUGUUCUGACGGUACCCAAAGAAUAAGCACCGGCUAACUUCGUG